GGCGCGAAGGCCGCAGUCGGAGGCCUGCGGGGACAGCUUCGCAGCGCGGGGAUCCAGACGCCAUUAUUCUGAGCUCAGGAAUGGUGAGCAGCAGCGGAAAGAGGGCCUCUGGAGGCUUGUUGAGAAUUGAAGGCCACAGAGAGAGCAGAGACACCUCAAUAAAGGCGCUGCAGCAGUCGUUUAGAACAACAGGUGACACCCAGAGAAGGAAAGAACCUGCCCAGCGAUGCACAGUUGAAUGGAGAUGAGGUAAGGGAAAUUCUGGGUUCUAGGGGACUCUCCACUGUACCCCAGGGGAUCAGAACAUGCCAAGAGGGAGGUCUCCUUUGGAAAGUGCUCAUCUAGUGUCCUAAGGUUGGGGUAGGGUGAGAAAUGGGGGGAAUAAUCACAGAGCCACACACGUGGUACACAAAGAAGGA
rnacentral:lncRNA from 1 species